rnacentral:rRNA from 1 species
UCCCGUAUCUGGCGUUGUGCGAGGCUGACUGAUGUUUCCGGAGAGUCGGGUUGCUCGGGAUUGCAGCCUGAACGGGAGGUAAAUUUCUCCUAAAGCUAAAUACUGGCGAGAGACCGAUAGCGAACAAGUACCGUGAGGGAAAGAUGCAAAGAACUUUGAAAAGAGAGUUAAAGAGUGCCUGAACUUGUUGGGGGGAAAGCGUUUGCGCCCAGUGUGCCGCCGUCAACUCAGCCUUUUGAAGGGUGUACUUUGGCGGUGGCUGCCAGGGUGGGUUGGGCGCGCGCGUCUCGGCCCCCGCGAGGCCCUUUGGGCGACCGGGUGGCUUUGGCGUGCUCCUGACUGAGGCUCGCUCUGCGCGGGUGUGUGCGGCGUCGUGGUGUGUGUCCCAAGCAACUUGUGUUCGCCCACGGCAAAGCUUCAGCCCGCCUUUAGCGUGACCCUGGCGAAAUGGUCGCAACCGACCCGUCUAGAAACACGGACCAAGGAGUCUGACGAAUGCGCGAGUCUUCGGGUGUCAAACCUGCGGGCGGAAUGAAAGUGAGAGGUGCUCAGCACCGACCGACCGUGAUCUCCUGUGAAUGGUUUGAGUGCGAGCGUGUUCGUCGGGACCCGAAAGAUGGUGAACUAUGCCUGAGUAGGGUGAAGCCUGAAGAAAUUCAGGUGGAGGCUCGUAGCGAUACUGACGUGCAAAUCGUUCGUCGAACUUGGGUAUAGGGGCGAAAGACUAAUCGAACCAUCUAGUAGCUGGUUCCCUCCGAAGUUUCCCUCAGGAUAGCUGGAGCUCAUUUGUUCAGUUUUGU